rnacentral:rRNA from 1 species
UACGUAGGGACCGAGCGUUGUCCGGAAUCAUUGGGCGUAAAGAGCGUGUAGGCGGCCUUUUAAGUCCUGCGUGAAAUCCUGCGGCUCAACCGCAGACGGUCGUGGGAAACUGGAAGGCUAGAGUGCGGAAGAGGAGAGUGGAAUUCCUGGUGUAGCGGUGAAAUGCGCAGAUAUCAGGAAGAACACCCGUGGCGAAGGCGGCUCUCUGGGACGGUACUGACGCUGAGACGCGAAAGCGUGGGGAGCAAACAGG